rnacentral:ncRNA from 25 species
AAAGUCUAUAUUUUACAGGGCACUCGAGGGCAACCAAGAGUUUAAACCCGGUGCAAAACGGUGAAAUUCCGUUACAGUUCCGCCUGCUGUUAUAGUCAGAACCCGGCCCUGAUCAUAAGCUGCCUC